UGGUUUUGUGCCUGGCCGUGCCUUGGCCUCUCUAUGACCCCGCGCUGGGAUAGAGCGGCCACUUCCGGUCCCUCCUGAGGGGAGGGGGGGGGCCCAAGCGCCAAGAUGGCGCAGGCCCUGUCGGCCGAGGAGUUCCAAAGGAUGCAGGCGCAGCUGCUGGAGCUGCGCACCGAGAAUUACCGGCUGUCGGAUGAGCUGCGCAAGAACGGCGCCGAGCUGUCGGGGCUGCGGCAGAAGGUGCAGACGCUGGACAGGGACCUGGCCAAGGCCAACAAGG